rnacentral:lncRNA from 1 species
AACAAUUUCUCAUCAGUAUCUUAUUUUCCCUGUUUGAGUGAGCAACAAAAUUUUUGCAAGUGGAAUUUCGCCGUCGAACGUGACAUUUAAUCGAUGUAGGCAUUAAAAUAUAAUUCAAUCGCAUUGAAUAGUGUAUUAAAAAAUUGUAACGUAAAAUUUUACCUUAAAAAGUAGUGAUCGUAGAUAUUACAAAGAAAAAUUUGUGGUAGACAUUUCGCUUACGAAAAUCUGGAAAUUGCUUUCGUCUAAAUGCACAUUACAUUGCAAGUAAUCACGGGCAACACAUUUUAAUUAUAUUAAAGUACAAUAGUGAAGAAAAUCGAUUUUUCGUGUGUGAUCAAAAAGAAAAAAUUGGGGCACCUAAAUACAAUACGGUUCAGUUCAGUUCAAAUCACUUCGGCAUUUAUAAAGUGGGAGAGUAGCUGAAACAAGUAUUAUAAACAACCAUAAGGUUAUAUAAAAAAUACAAUACCUGAGUGCUGAGAGUAUAAAAGCGUAAAGAAAAUAUAAAUAAAGCGCAAAA